CCUACGGGAGGCAGCAGUGGGGAAUAUUGGACAAUGGGGGGAACCCUGAUCCAGCGACGCCGCGUGAGUGAAGAAGUAUUUCGGUAUGUAAAGCUCUAUCAGCAGGGAAGAAAGCAAUGACGGUACCUGACUAAGAAGCCCAGGCUAACUACGUGCCAGCAGCCGCGGUAAUACGUAGGGGGCAAGCGUUAUCCGGAUUUACUGGGUGUAAAGGGAGCGUAGACGGCGAUGCAAGUCUGAAGUGAAAGGCGGGGGCGCAACCCCCGGACUGCUUUGGAAACUGUAUGGCUGGAGUGCAGGAGAGGGAAGUGGAAUUCCUAGUGUAGCGGUGAAAUGCGUAGAUAUUAGGAGGAACACCAGUGGCGAAGGCGGCUUACUGGACUGUAACUGACGUUGAGGCUCGAAAGCGUGGGGAGCAAACAGGAUUAGAUACCCUAGUAGUC
rnacentral:rRNA from 1 species